rnacentral:rRNA from 1 species
GCUAGAGUCACGGAGAGGAAAUUGGAAUUCCUGGUGUAGGAGUGANAUCUAUAGAUAUCAGGAAGAACACCUGUAGCGAAGGCUGAUUUCUGGACGUGCACUGACGCUGAGGUACGAAAGUUAGGGUAGCAAACAGGAUUAGAGACCCUGGUAGUCCUAACCGUAAACGUUGUAUACUAGGUGGUGGGAGUAUUGAUCCUUUCACUGCCGCAGCUAAUGCACUAAGUAUACCGCCUGGGGAGUAUGCCGGCAACGGUGAAACUCAAAGGAAUUGACGGGGGCCCGCACAAGCAGUGGAGCAUGUUGUUCAAUUCGAUGAUACGCGAGGAACCUUACCAGGUCUUGACAUAUACCUGACGCACAUAGAAAUAUGUGUUUCCUUCGGGACAGGUAUACAGGUGCUGCAUGGUUGUCGUCAGCUCGUGCCGUGAGGUGUUGGGUUAAGUCCCGUAACGAGCGCAACCCCUAUUCUUUGUUGCUAACAGAUUAAGCUGAGCACUCGGAGGAAACUGCCGGUGACAAACCGGAGGAAGGUGGGGAUGACGUCAAAUCAUCACGGCCCUUAUGACCUGGGCUACAAACGUGCUACAAUGGACGGUACAAAGAGUUGCGAGACCGCGAGGUGGAGCUAAUCUCAAAAAAGCGUCCUCAGUUCGGAUUGGAGUCUGAAACCCGACUCUAUGAAGCUGGAAUUGCUAGUAAUCGCACAUCAUAAUGGUGCGGUGAAUAUGUUCCCGGGCCUUGUACACACCGCCCGUCACAUCACCCGAGUUGAAUAUACCCGAAGUAUCCGAGCUAACGGCUUUUGCCGGGGCAGGUCCUAAGGUAUGUUCGGCA